UUAAGCGUAGUGUGGGGAAACCUGCAUGCUGCGUUUCUAAGGGAGGGAGUAGUAGUAAUAUUGCUUCCUUACCUGAC
rnacentral:ncRNA from 1 species